UUUGAUCCUGGCUCAGAUUGAACGCUGGCGGAAUGCUUUACACAUGCAAGUCGAACGGCAGCACGGGUGCUUGCACCUGGUGGCGAGUGGCGAACGGGUGAGUAACAUAUCGGAACGWGCCCAGUAAUGGGGGACAACCAACCGAAAGGUUGGCUAAUACCGCAUACGCCCCGAGGGGGAAAGCUGGGGAUCGUAAGACCUAGCGUUAAUGGAGCGGCCGAUAUCAGAUUAGCUAGUUGGUGGGGUAAAGGCCUACCAAGGCGACGAUCUGUAGCUGGUCUGAGAGGACGACCAGCCACACUGGAACUGAGACACGGUCCAGACUCCUACGGGAGGCAGCAGUGGGGAAUUUUGGACAAUGGGGGCAACCCUGAUCCAGCCAUUCCGCGUGAGUGAAGAAGGCCUUCGGGUUGUAAAGCUCUUUCGCAAGGGAAGAAACGAUACUAGCGAAUAACUAGUGUUAAUGACGGUACCUUGAUAAGAAGCACCGGCUAACUACGUGCCAGCAGCCGCGGUAAUACGUAGGGUGCAAGCGUUAAUCGGAAUUACUGGGCGUAAAGCGUGCGCAGGCGGUUUUGUAAGUCAGAUGUGAAAUCCCCGAGCUCAACUUGGGAACUGCGUUUGAAACUACAAGGCUAGAAUAUGUCAGAGGGGGGUAGAAUUCCACGUGUAGCAGUGAAAUGCGUAGAGAUGUGGAGGAAUAUCAAUGGCGAAGGCAGCCCCCUGGGAUAAUAUUGACGCUCAUGCACGAAAGCGUGGGGAGCAAACAGGAUUAGAUACCCUGGUAGUCCACGCCCUAAACGAUGUCUACUAGUUGUUGGUGGAGUAAAAUCCAUGAGUAACGCAGCUAACGCGUGAAGUAGACCGCCUGGGGAGUACGGUCGCAAGAUUAAACUCAAUGAAUUGACGGGGGCCCGCACAAGCGGUGGAUUAUGUGGAUUAAUU
rnacentral:rRNA from 1 species